GAUGAACGCUAGCGGCAGGCCUAACACAUGCAAGUCGAGGGGUAGCAGGAUUAAGCUUGCUUAAUUGCUGACGACCGGCGCACGGGUGCGUAACGCGUAUGCAACCUACCUUAUACUGGGGUAUAGCCCGGAGAAAUUCGGAUUAAUCCCCCAUAGUACUAAUGAAUCGCAUGGUUUAUUAGUUAAAGCAUUGCGGUAUAAGAUGGGCAUGCGUCCUAUUAGCUAGAUGGUGAGGUAACGGCUCACCAUGGCUACGAUAGGUAGGGGGCCUGAGAGGGUGUUCCCCCACACUGGAACUGAGACACGGGCCAGACUCCUACGGGAGGCAGCAGUGAGGAAGAUUGGUCAAUGGGCGCAAGCCUGAACCAGCCAUGCCGCGUGCAGGAAGAAUGCCCUAUGGGUUGUAAACUGCUUUUAUUUGAGAAUAAACCUCUUUACGUGUAGAGAGCUGAAGGUACCAAAUGAAUAAGCACCGGCUAACUCCGUGCCAGCCGCCGCAGUAA
rnacentral:rRNA from 1 species